UUAUGUGGAUGAGCCAAAGAUUAAUAAGUUUUGUUGAAUUAAGUAAAAUGUAGUUACAGAACAAUAUCAAGUUUAAGAGUUCUACCAAAUGAAACACGAGGCUUUGACAGUAUUCUCAAAAUCAUUUUCAUGUAGAUAAAUGCAAGAAUAAUCAAUGGUUACAAGUUUUUUACAAGAGUUUCAUCACUAUUGAAAAAUCAUUGGGAAAUGAAGUUGGAACACUCUGCAGACUAACACUGAAACCUUUAAGUGUUUCUCCCAUCAUCGUUUCACCUUCAAUUUGAAAGAAACUCUUGAAGUCAUCAACAAGAAGAUAGUAUAAUGAAUAGAACUUGGUGAGAAGCGCAUCAAGGGUUGUAUAAAAUUAAUGCAAAUUAUAUAUUGAUAAUCAGCCCGCAACGCUAAUUUAAGCUCCCAUCACAAUGAUCAGAUGAAAUAAAUAUUACAAAACUUAAGAAAUAUUAAAAGUCCCAUCAUGAGAUUCCAUCUCACACUUUUUUCCUUUUCAGGCGGCAAAAUUUUACAACACUAAAUAACAAAAUACUCUCUCGUUCCACAAAAAGAGAUGACUAAUUAAAUCUAGUUGGUCUAACUAAGCCUAGAAUUUUAAAGGCUUGGUUAGGGUAUGGGAUG
rnacentral:lncRNA from 1 species